rnacentral:rRNA from 1 species
UACGUAGGUGGCAAGCGUUGUCCGGAUUUACUGGGCGUAAAGAGCGCGCAGGCGGUCGUUCAAGUCGCGUGUGAAAGCCCCCCGGCUCAACUGGGGAGGGUCACGCGAUACUGAUCGACUCGAAGGCAGGAGAGGGAAGUGGAAUUCCGGGUGUAGUGGUGAAAUGCGUAGAUAUCCGGAGGAACACCAGUGGCGAAGGCGACUUUCUGGCCUGUUCUUGACGCUGAGGCGCGAAAGCUAGGGGAGCAAACGGG